rnacentral:sRNA from 1 species
GAAGUAUACAGGGUCCAGUUGUUGCUUAAAGCCCCGAAAUUUCGGGGUUUUUUGUUAUAAAACAGCAGAACUUCUGGGCGUUAUGCCCUUUUUUU